rnacentral:tRNA from 1 species
CCAGGUGUAGCUCAGUUUGGCUAGAGCGUACCGUUCGGGACGGUAAGGCCGCAGGUUCAAAUCCUGUUACCUGGAC